rnacentral:rRNA from 1 species
UACGUAGGGUGCGAGCGUUGUCCGGAAUUAUUGGGCGUAAAGAGCUCGUAGGCGGCUUGUCGCGUCGAAUGUGAAAACUCGGGGCUCAACCCCGCGCUUGCAUUCGAUACGGGCAGGCUCGAGUUCGGUAGGGGAGACUGGAAUUCCUGGUGUAGCGGUGAAAUGCGCAGAUAUCAGGAGGAACACCGGUGGCGAAGGCGGGUCUCUGGGCCGAUACUGACGCUGAGGAGCGAAAGUGUGGGGAGCGAACAGG